UACGUAGGGUGCAAGCGUUAAUCGGAAUUACUGGGCGUAAAGGGUGCGUAGGCGGGUCUUUAAGUCAGGGGGGAAAUCCUGGAGCUCAACUCCAGAACUGCCUUUGAUACUGAGGAUCUUGAGUUCGGGAGAGGUGAGUGGAACUGCGAGUGUAGAGGUGAAAUUCGUAGAUAUUCGCAAGAACACCAGUGGCGAAGGCGGCUCACUGGCCCGAUACUGACGCUGAGGCACGAAAGCGUGGGGAGCAAACAGG
rnacentral:rRNA from 1 species